rnacentral:rRNA from 1 species
GGGGUGGCCAACAAACCGACAGUUCGUGAUUUAGUUGGCAUGGUAAAAGAAACACAAGCAAAAAUUUUGUUUUUAUGUGAGACUAGACAGAGCUCCGAAAAAGUAAAAUGUUUGCGUGGUCGGUUAGGUCUGAGAGGAUUUUCUGGUGCCAGUAGCAAUGGUUUGAGUGGAUGGCUUGUUCUCUUUUGGUGCGAUAGUCUGCAUGUAGAAGUUCAAUCUUUGAAUGAAAGAUAUAUAGAUGCAUAUGUGAGGUUUUCUGAGCAUGAUCCAUUAUGGCGUUUGCCAUGUGUGUAUGGUGAACCACGAACAGAAAAUCGACAUCUUAUGUGGACACUAAUGAGGGAUCUAAAACAACAGUCUGAUCUUCCUUGGUGUGUCAUGGGUGACUUUAAUGAGGCCAUGUGGUCUUUUGAGCACUUCUCCGUGACACCACGCAACGAGAGUCAGAUGCUUGCGUUUCGAGAUACAUUAGAGGUAUGUGAACUUGUAGAUCUUGGUUUCUCUGGCUGA